GAGUUUGAUCCUGGCUCAGGAUUAACGCUGGCGGCAUGCCUAAUACAUGCAAGUCGAACGGAGUAGCAAUACUUAGUGGCGAACGGGUGAGUAACACGUAUCUAAUCUACCAUUUAGUGGGGAAUAACUGUUGGAAACGACAGCUAAUACCGCAUAAUAUUGCUGGAUAAUUUCCAGUAAUGAAAGGAGCUUUCAAGCUCCGCUGAUUGAUGAGGAUGCGGCGCAUUAGCUAGUUGGUAGGGUAAUGGCCUACCAAGGCAAUGAUGCGUAGCCGAUCUGAGAGGAUGAACGGCCACAUUGGGACUGAGACACGGCCCAAACUUCUACGGAAGGCAGCAGUAGGGAAUUUUUCACAAUGGGCGAAAGCCUGAUGGAGCAAUGCCGCGUGACUGAUGAAGGUCUUCGGAUUGUAAAGGUCUGUUGUAAGGGAAGAAAUGGUAAAACAGGAAAUGGUUUUAUCUAUGACGGUACCUUACCAGAAAGCCACGGCUAACUAUGUGCCAGCAGCCGCGGUAAUACAUAGGUGGCAAGCGUUAUCCGGAUUUAUUGGGCGUAAAGGGUGCGUAGACGGUUUUGCAAGUCUGAUGUUAAAUUUAGG
rnacentral:rRNA from 1 species